rnacentral:rRNA from 1 species
AAGACCUUGCGCUUUUGGAGCGGCCGAUGCCUGAUUAGCUUGUUGGUAAGGUAAAAGCUUACCAAGGCUUCGAUCAGUAGCUGGUCUGAGAGGACGGCCAGCCACACUGGGACUGAGACACGGCCCAGACUCCUACGGGAGGCAGCAGUGGGGAAUUUUGGACAAUGGGGGCAACCCUGAUCCAGCCAUGCCGCGUGAGUGAAGAAGGCCUUCGGGUUGUAAAGCUCUUUCAGCCGGAACGAAACGGUUACGGUUAAUACCCGUGAUUACUGACGGUACCGGAAGAAGAAGCACUGGCUAACUACGUGCCAGCAGCCGCGGUAAUACGUAGGGUGCGAGCGUUAAUCGGAAUUACUGGGCGUAAAGCGUGCGCAGGUGGUUUUGUAAGUCAGAUGUGAAAGCCCCGGGCUCAACCUGGGAACU